GACGAACGCUGGCGGCGUGCUUAACACAUGCAAGUCGAACGGAAAGGCCCUGCUUUUGUGGGGUGCUCGAGUGGCGAACGGGUGAGUAACACGUGAGUAACCUGCCCUUGACUUUGGGAUAACUUCAGGAAACUGGGGCUAAUACAGGAUAGGAGCUCCUGCUGCAUGGUGGGGGUUGGAAAGUUUCGGCGGUUGGGGAUGGACUCGCGGCUUAUCAGCUUGUUGGUGGGGUAGUGGCUUACCAAGGCUUUGACGGGUAGCCGGCCUGAGAGGGUGACCGGCCACAUUGGGACUGAGAUACGGCCCAGACUCCUACGGGAGGCAGCAGUGGGGAAUAUUGCACAAUGGUCGGAAGCCUGAUGCAGCAACGCCGCGUUCGGGAUGACGGCCUUCGGGUUGUAAACCGCUUUCGCCUGUGACGAAGCGUGAGUGACGGUAAUGGGUAAAGAAGCACCGGCUAACUACGUG
rnacentral:rRNA from 1 species